rnacentral:rRNA from 1 species
CCAGACUCCUACGGGAGGCAGCAGUGGGGAAUAUUGCACAAUGGGGGAAACCCUGAUGCAGCAACGCCGCGUGAGUGAAGAAGUAUUUCGGUAUGUAAAGCUCUAUCAGCAGGGAAGAAGAUGACGGUACCUGAUUAAGAAGCCCCGGCUAACUACGUGCCAGCAGCCGCGGCAAUACGUAGGGGGCAAGCGUUAUCCGGAUUUACUGGGUGUAAAGGGAGCGCAGACGGCAGUGCAAGUCUGGAGUGAAAGCCCGGGGCCCAACCCCGGAACUGCUCUGGAAACUGUGAAGCUGGAGUGCAGGAGAGGUAAGCGGAAUUCCUGGUGUAGCGGUGAAAUGCGUAGAUAUCAGGAGGAACACCGGCGGCGAAGGCGGCUUACUGGACUGUAACUGACGUUGAGGCUCGAAAGCGUGGGGAGCAAACAGGAUUAGAUACCCCGGUA